AAACUUUCAACAACGGAUCUCUUGGUUCUGGCAUCGAUGAAGAACGCAGCGAAAUGCGAUAAGUAAUGUGAAUUGCAGAAUUCAGUGAAUCAUCGAAUCUUUGAACGCACAUUGCGCCCGCCAGUAUUCUGGCGGGCAUGCCUGUCCAAGCGUCAUUU
rnacentral:rRNA from 1 species